GACGAACGCUGGCGGCGUGCUUAACACAUGCAAGUCGAACGGAAAGGCCCUGCUUUUGUGGGGUGCUCGAGUGCGAACGGGUGAGUAACACGUGAGUAACCUGCCCUUGACUUUGGGAUAACUUCAGGAAACUGGGGCUAAUACCGGAUAGGAGCUCCUGCUGCAUGGUGGGGGUUGGAAAGUUUCGGCGGUUGGGGAUGGACUCGCGGCUUAUCAGCUUGUUGGUGGGGUAGUGGCUUACCAAGGCUUUGACGGGUAGCCGGCCUGAGAGGGUGACCGGCCACAUUGGGACUGAGAUACGGCCCAGACUCCUACGGGAGGCAGCAGUGGGGAAUAUUGCACAAUGGGCGGAAGCCUGAUGCAGCAACGCCGCGUGCGGGAUGACGGCCUUCGGGUUGUAAACCGCUUUCGCCUGUGACGAAGCGUGAGUGACGGUAAUGGGUAAAGAAGCACCGGCUAACUACGU
rnacentral:rRNA from 1 species